rnacentral:rRNA from 1 species
CAGUCGCCGCGGGAAUACGUAGGGUGCAAGCGUUAAUCGGAAUUACUGGGCGUAAAGCGCGCGUAGGUGGUUUGGUAAGAUGGAUGUGAAAUCCCCGGGCUCAACCUGGGAACUGCAUCCAUAACUGCCUGACUAGAGUACGGUAGAGGGUGGUGGAAUUUCCUGUGUAGCGGUGAAAUGCGUAGAUAUAGGAAGGAACACCAGUGGCGAAGGCGACCACCUGGACUGAUACUGACACUGAGGUGCGAAAGCGUGGGGAGCAAACAGGAUUAGAUACCCCAGUAGUCCCUGUCUCUUAUAC